rnacentral:rRNA from 1 species
UUGAACGCUGGCGGCAGGCCUAACACAUGCAAGUCGAGCGCGAAAGGUUUUCGGACUGAGUAGAGCGGCGGACGGGUGAGUAACGCGUGGGAAUCUACCCAGUAGUGGGGGACAACAUCCCGAAAGGGAUGCUAAUACCGCAUACGCCCUAUGGGGGAAAGCAGGGGAUCUUCGGACCUUGUGCUAUUGGAUGAGCCCGCGUCGGAUUAGCUUGUUGGUGGGGUAAAGGCUCACCAAGGCGACGAUCCGUAACUGGUCGGAGAGGAUGAUCAGUCACACUGGAACUGAGACACGGUCCAGACUCCUACGGGAGGCAGCAGUGGGGAAUAUUGGACAAUGGGGGCAACCCUGAUCCAGCCAUGCCGCGUGUGUGAAGAAGGCCUUAGGGUUGUAAAGCACUUUCAGUGGGGAGGAAGGCUUGCUGGCUAAUAUCCAGCAAGAUUGACGUUACCCACAGAAGAAGCACCGGCUAACUCCGUGCCAGCCGCCGCCGUAACAC